AGUGAACGCUGGCGGCAGGCCUAACACAUGCAAGUCGAACGGCAGCACAGAGGAGCUUGCUCCUUGGGUGGCGAGUGGCGGACGGGUGAGGAAUACAUCGGAAUCUGCCUAGUCGUGGGGGAUAACGUAGGGAAACUUACGCUAAUACCGCAUACGACCUACGGGUGAAAGCGGGGGAUCGCAAGACCUCGCGCGAUUAGAUGAGCCGAUGUCCGAUUAGCUAGUUGGCGGGGUAAUGGCCCACCAAGGCGACGAUCGGUAGCUGGUCUGAGAGGAUGAUCAGCCACACUGGAACUGAGACACGGUCCAGACUCCUACGGGAGGCAGCAGUGGGGAAUAUUGGACAAUGGGCGCAAGCCUGAUCCAGCCAUGCCGCGUGGGUGAAGAAGGCCUCGGUUGUAA
rnacentral:rRNA from 1 species